rnacentral:rRNA from 1 species
GAUUAUGGCUCAGGAUGAACGCUAGCUACAGGCUUAACACAUGCAAGUCGAGGGGCAGCGAGAGGAAAGCUUGCUUCCUUGUCGGCGACCGGCGCACGGGUGAGUAACGCGUAUCCAACCUUCCCCAUAGUAGAGGAUAGCCCGGCGAAAGUCGGAUUAAUACUCUAUGUUGUGUCAUGAGGACAUCUGAAUAACACUAAAGAUUUAUCGCUAUGGGAUGGGGAUGCGUCUGAUUAGCUUGUUGGCGGGUAACGGCCCACCAAGGCGACGAUCAGUAGGGGUUCUGAGAGGAAGGUCCCCCACAUUGGUACUGAGACACGGACCAAACUCCUACGGGAGGCAGCAGUGAGGAAUAUUGGUCAAUGGGCGUGAGCCUGAACCAGCCAAGUAGCGUGCAAGGAUGACUGCCCUAUGGGUUGUAAACUGCUUUUAUGCGGGAAUAAAGUCAGGUACGUGUACCUGUUUGUAUGUACCGCAUGAAUAAGGACCGGCUAAUUCCGUGCCAGCAGCGGC